ACUGAAAUAGCUCAGUUGGGAGAGCGUUAGACUGUAGAUCGAAAAGGGCCUGGUUUGAUCCCGGGUUCCGGCA
rnacentral:tRNA from 1 species